rnacentral:rRNA from 1 species
GACGGAAGGUGCAAGCGUUGCUCGGAAUCACUGGGCGUAAAGGGUGCGUAGGCGGCUUGGUAAGUUGGGUGUGAAAGCCCCGGGCUCAGCCCGGGAAGGGCACUCGAAACUGCCGAGCUGGAGUGCCGGAGGGGAGAGUGGAAUUCCUGGUGUAGCGGUGAAAUGCGUAGAUAUCAGGAGGAAUACCGGUGGCGAAAGCGACUCUCUGGACGGCAACUGACGCUGAGGCACGAAAGCGUGGGGAGCGAACAGG